UGAAAUCCUACCAAUGUAGGCAAUAAGAUUGAGGUUAAAUCGAAGGAACUCAGAUCAUGAUCCUCAAAAUUCAAAUCCCUAUAUCUUUUUAUAUACUUGGAAUUGGAGAAAAUUGAGGCCAGAUUCGAGUUCCUGAGCAUUUUUUCUUUGAAUCCAUGUCCUUGUUUUUCAUUUUGGUGAUUUUUGAUGGUGGACCAGUUCGGUGAGGUCCAUCGGAGAAGAAGACUGGAACCCUAGCUCCGGUGAUGUGUUG
rnacentral:lncRNA from 1 species